AUUGAACGCUGGCGGCAGGCUUAACACAUGCAAGUCGAGCGAGCGGCGGACGGGUGACUAAUGUAUGUGCCAGUGCCUGAUGGAUGGCGAUAACUACCGGAAACUGUAGCUAAUACCGCCUACCAUCAGCUGUGCCCAGAUGGGAUUAGCUAGUAGGUGGGGUAAUGGCUCACCUAGGCGACGAUCCCUAGCUGGUCUGAGCGGAUGACCAGUCACACUGGAACUGAGACACGGUCCAGACUCCUACGGUAGGCAGCAGUGGGGAAUAUUGCACAAUGGGCGAAAGCCUGAUGCAGCCAUGCCGCGUGUGUGAAGAAGGCCUUCGGGUUGUAAAGCACUUUCAGCGAGGAGGCGUUACUAGCAGAAGAAGCACCGGCUAACUCCGUGCCAGCAGCCGCGGUAAUAC
rnacentral:rRNA from 1 species